GACGAACGCUGGCGGCGUGCCUAAUACAUGCAAGUAGAACGCUGAAGGAGGAGCUUGCUUCUCUGGAUGAGUUGCGAACGGGUGAGUAACGCGUAGGUAACCUGCCUGGUAGCGGGGGAUAACUAUUGGAAACGAUAGCUAAUACCGCAUAAUAGUAGAUGUUGCAUGACAUUUGCUUAAAAGGUGCAAUUGCAUCACUACCAGAUGGACCUGCGUUGUAUUAGCUAGUUGGUGGGGUAACGGCGCACCAAGGCGACGAUACAUAGCCGACCUGAGAGGGUGAUCGGCCACCCUGGGACUGGGACACGGCCCAGACUCCUACGGGAGGCAGCAGGAGGGGAUCUUCGGCAAUGGACGGAAGGCUGAACGAGCAACGCCGCGUGAGUGAAGAAGGUUGUCGGAUCGGAAAGCUCUGUUGUAAGAGAAGAACGAGUGUGAGAGUGGAAAGUUCACACUGUGACGGUAUCUGACCAGAAAGGGACGGCUAACUACGUG
rnacentral:rRNA from 1 species